UCAUGUUAUCGAUAUGUGAAUACAUAGCAUAUCAGAAGGCACACCCGGAGAACUGAAACAUCUUAGUACCCGGAGGAAGAGAAAGAAAAUUCGAUUCCCUUAGUAGCGGCGAGCGAAACGGGAAGAGCCCAAACCAACAAGCUUGCUUGUUGGGGUUGUAGGACACUCUAUACGGAGUUACAAAGGACGACAUUAGACGAAUCAUCUGGAAAGAUGAAUCAAAGAAGGUAAUAAUCCUGUAGUCGAAAAUGUUGUCUCUCUUGAGUGGAUCCUGAGUACGACGGAGCACGUGAAAUUCCGUCGGAAUCUGGGAGGACCAUCUCCUAAGGCUAAAUACUCUCUAGUGACCGAUAGUGAACCAGUACCGUGAGGGAAAGGUGAAAAGCACCCCGGAAGGGGAGUGAAACAGAACCUGAAACCGUGUGCUUACAAGUAGUCAGAGCCCGUUAAUGGGUGAUGGCGUGCCUUUUGUAGAAUGAACCGGCGAGUUACGAUUUGAUGCAAGGUUAAGCAGUAAAUGUGGAGCCGUAGCGAAAGCGAGUCUGAAUAGGGCGUUUAGUAUUUGGUCGUAGACCCGAAACCAGGUGAUCUACCCUUGGUCAGGUUGAAGUUCAGGUAACACUGAAUGGAGGACCGAACCGACUUACGUUGAAAAGUGAGCGGAUGAACUGAGGGUAGCGGAGAAAUUCCAAUCGAACCUGGAGAUAGCUGGUUCUCUCCGAAAUAGCUUUAGGGCUAGCCUCAAGUGAUGAUUAUUGGAGGUAGAGCACUGUUUGGACGAGGGGCCCCUCUCGGGUUACCGAAUUCAGACAAACUCCGAAUGCCAAUUAAUUUAACUUGGGAGUCAGAACAUGGGUGAUAAGGUCCGUGUUCGAAAGGGAAACAGCCCAGACCACCAGCUAAGGUCCCAAAAUAUAUGUUAAGUGGAAAAGGAUGUGGCGUUGCCCAGACAACUAGGAUGUUGGCUUAGAAGCAGCCAUCAUUUAAAGAGUGCGUAAUAGCUCACUAGUCGAGUGACACUGCGCCGAAAAUGUACCGGGGCUAAACAUAUUACCGAAGCUGUGGAUUGUCCUUUGGACAAUGGUAGGAGAGCGUUCUAAGGGCGUUGAAGCAUGAUCGUAAGGACAUGUGGAGCGCUUAGAAGUGAGAAUGCCGGUGUGAGUAGCGAAAGACGGGUGAGAAUCCCGUCCACCGAUUGACUAAGGUUUCCAGAGGAAGGCUCGUCCGCUCUGGGUUAGUCGGGUCCUAAGCUGAGGCCGACAGGCGUAGGCGAUGGAUAACAGGUUGAUAUUCCUGUACCACCUAUAAUCGUUUUAAUCGAUGGGGGGACGCAGUAGGAUAGGCGAAGCGUGCGAUUGGAUUGCACGUCUAAGCAGUAAGGCUGAGUAUUAGGCAAAUCCGGUACUCAUUAAGGCUGAGCUGUGAUGGGGAGAAGACAUUGUGUCUUCGAGUCGUUGAUUUCACACUGCCGAGAAAAGCCUCUAGAUAGAAAAUAGGUGCCCGUACCGCAAACCGACACAGGUAGUCAAGAUGAGAAUUCUAAGGUGAGCGAGCGAACUCUCGUUAAGGAACUCGGCAAAAUGACCCCGUAACUUCGGGAGAAGGGGUGCUCUUUAGGGUUAACGCCCAGAAGAGCCGCAGUGAAUAGGCCCAAGCGACUGUUUAUCAAAAACACAGGUCUCUGCUAAACCGUAAGGUGAUGUAUAGGGGCUGACGCCUGCCCGGUGCUGGAAGGUUAAGAGGAGUGGUUAGCUUCUGCGAAGCUACGAAUCGAAGCCCCAGUAAACGGCGGCCGUAACUAUAACGGUCCUAAGGUAGCGAAAUUCCUUGUCGGGUAAGUUCCGACCCGCACGAAAGGCGUAACGAUUUGGGCACUGUCUCAACGAGAGACUCGGUGAAAUCAUAGUACCUGUGAAGAUGCAGGUUACCCGCGACAGGACGGAAAGACCCCGUGGAGCUUUACUGUAGCCUGAUAUUGAAAUUCGGCACAGCUUGUACAGGAUAGGUAGGAGCCUUUGAAACGUGAGCGCUAGCUUACGUGGAGGCGCUGGUGGGAUACUACCCUAGCUGUGUUGGCUUUCUAACCCGCACCACUUAUCGUGGUGGGAGACAGUGUCAGGCGGGCAGUUUGACUGGGGCGGUCGCCUCCUAAAAGGUAACGGAGGCGCUCAAAGGUUCCCUCAGAAUGGUUGGAAAUCAUUCAUAGAGUGUAAAGGCAUAAGGGAGCUUGACUGCGAGACCUACAAGUCGAGCAGGGUCGAAAGACGGACUUAGUGAUCCGGUGGUUCCGCAUGGAAGGGCCAUCGCUCAACGGAUAAAAGCUACCCCGGGGAUAACAGGCUUAUCUCCCCCAAGAGUUCACAUCGACGGGGAGGUUUGGCACCUCGAUGUCGGCUCAUCGCAUCCUGGGGCUGUAGUCGGUCCCAAGGGUUGGGCUGUUCGCCCAUUAAAGCGGUACGCGAGCUGGGUUCAGAACGUCGUGAGACAGUUCGGUCCCUAUCCGUCGUGGGCGUAGGAAAUUUGAGAGGAGCUGUCCUUAGUACGAGAGGACCGGGAUGGACAUACCUCUGGUGUACCAGUUGUCGUGCCAACGGCAUAGCUGGGUAGCUAUGUGUGGACGGGAUAAGUGCUGAAAGCAUCUAAGCAUGAAGCCCCCCUCAAGAUGAGAUUUCCCAACUUCGGUUAUAAGAUCCCUCAAAGAUGAUGAGGUUAAUAGGUUCGAGGUGGAAGCAUGGUGACAUGUGGAGCUGACGAAUACUAAUCGAUCGAAGACUUAAUCAA
rnacentral:rRNA from 1 species